rnacentral:rRNA from 1 species
GAUGAACGCUGGCGGCGUGCCUAAUACAUGCAAGUCGAGCGAACAGACGAGGAGCUUGCUCCUCUGACGUUAGCGGCGGACGGGUGAGUAACACGUGGAUAACCUACCUAUAAGACUGGGAUAACUUCGGGAAACCGGAGCUAAUACCGGAUAAUAUAUUGAACCGCAUGGUUCAAUAGUGAAAGACGGUUUUGCUGUCACUUAUAGAUGGAUCCGCGCCGCAUUAGCUAGUUGGUAAGGUAACGGCUUACCAAGGCAACGAUGCGUAGCCGACCUGAGAGCGUGGUCGGACACACUGGAAGUGAGACACAGUCCAGACUCCUACGGGAGGCAGCAGUAGGGAAUCUUCCGCAAUGGGCGAAAGCGUGACGGAGCAACGCCGCGUGAGUGAUGAAGGUCUUCGGAUCGUAAAACUCUGUUAUUAGGGAAGAACAAAUGUGUAAGUAACUAUGAACGUCUUGACGGUACCGAAUGAGAAAGCCACGGCUAACUACGUG